rnacentral:rRNA from 1 species
GAUGAACGCUGGCGGCGUGCCUAAUACAUGCAAGUCGAGCGAACAGACGAGGAGCUUGCUCCUCUGACGUUAGCGGCGGACGGGUGAGUAACACGUGGAUAACCUACCUCUAAGACUGGGAUAACUUCGGGAAGCAGCAGCUAAUACCGGAUCAUAUAUUGAACCGCAUGGUUCAAUAGUGAAAGACGGUUUUGCUGUCACAUAUAGAUGGAUCCGCGUCGCAUUAGCUAGUUGGUAAGGUAAAGGCUUACCAAGGCAACGAUGCGUAGCCGACCUGAGAGGAUGAUCGGCCACACUGGAACUGAGACACGGUCCAGACUCCUACGGGAGGCAGCAGUAGGGAAUCUUCGGCAAUGGGCGAAAGCCUGACGGAGCAACGCCGCGUGAGUGAUGAAGGUCUUCGGAUCGUAAAGCUCUUUUAUUAGGGAAGAACAAAUGUGGAAUUAACUAUGCACGUCUUGACGGUACCUAAUCAGAAAGCCACGGCUAACUACGUG